GCUCACCUGCCCACACUUCAGAACUUUCUGAAUUCUCAGACUUUAUACCGAUGGCAGACCCCAGCUCCACUCAUCCAAAGCUUUCCAUUUUGGUCAGUUUGAAUCCCUAUGAGGCAACUGCUUUCAGAAGGCACUUUCAGCCUCCUGUGUUUGAAAUUCUGGGAGCACUCUGCAUUGUGGCAUGGAAAGACAUGGUAAUUCCCAAGUUGUUUUCAUAUUUUCUUAGAACUUUAACAUUUUUAACUUUAUUUAAGUUAACAUCUUUAACAACUUUAACUUUAUUUCAUAACCAUUUUGGGGGAAAUGAAACUGAAAUUCCCUAUCCAUUGCAUGUGGCAGUAAAGUGACCUCUAGUGGACUUUUCUGGUAGUUUCCAAGAAAUUCUGGAACAAGGAGCUGGAGGGGCAGUCCACCGAAGUUAGAUUAGCUAUUCAGCUACCUAGUGCCCUGAAGUUCAGUUGGAUGCAUGGUAAGCUUCAAUGCCAAGGCUGAGGCAGGUGAGGGAGGUACUUUUGGAUGAAGCAAGGUUCAUCACUGGUAAAAGUGGCUGCAAGAGACCUUGAGUUCUUUGGAACUAACAUUUCUCUAGAAAAGGAAGGACUGAGGAUCAGAUUAUGAACGAUGAGUCAGGACGAACCCAUUGGAUUGAUUUUAGAAAAAAAAAGUUGUCUCUUUGAAAUAAUGAAUAGUAAGAAUGAUAUGAAGUCAUGGUAGACCUUUAGGCAAAGUGAGGGAGGAAGUGUUCCACAUUUUAUGUUUUGUGUGUUUUUUAAAGACACAUGAUAAGGCAAUUUAACAAUCAACAGCAUGGGUGCAAAAAAAAAAAAUCUACAUUAAAACCCUUUGUUGGAAUACUUUACAUUUUCUACAGAAGAGAAACUAAAAUAACCUGUUUACACUUAGUCACAAAUACAGUCCUCGAGUUUUUUGCCCAUGUGUAUGGACGCAUGAGUAUUGUCUAAAACAUGUCUUCUUUGUAUACAGCAGCUAGGCCCUGCCACCACUGUUCUUGGCUGAGUUCACAAAUCUGUGGUAACCUGUAGCUUCCCUGUCACUUCUCUGGCUUCCCUCUCCUGCUAAGCUUUGUUUCUUGGCAGUAAUUAAAACCUUCUGCCACUGCCAUAGCUACUGCUGCUGCUGGAACCACCAUAGCCACCUUGGUUUCAUUGUUUGGCAAAAGAUUGGCCUUCACCGCCAUAGUGGCCAGAGCUUCUGCAUCCAAAAUUUCUUCCUUUCAAGGGUCCAGAGUUUGAAGACUGAUUGUUAUAAUUGCCCAAAUCAUUAUAGUUUCCAUUGCUUCCAUCAUUACCAAAUCCAUUAUAGCUGUCUCCACUGCCACCAUAUCCA
rnacentral:lncRNA from 1 species